CUGGUGUCCUUUCUUGCCCACAAACCUUUUGCCUGCUGACCUGAAUCCGGAUUCUCUCCUCUCUCAAGUGAGAUGCCAGAUGAACUCCAAGGGAAUUGUCUUUAUCCUGAAUCUUGGCUGUCACUUGUGCUCAACCAUUUCCACCCAGCUCCAUACUUAAAGAUUUGCUAUUUUAUGAAAAGAAUGUAAUUAACACCAUACACCACAGACUUUGCUGCCGGCAGAGACCUUGACCAAAGCAGCAUUAUUCCAUUGAGACUGUUCAUGUUGGAUUGCUCCAGAUGGCCAAGCUGAAUCAACAGAACCCGACAGAGAGGUUGGGUUUAUUUCACAGCAGGUCUUAUUUAGAGACAAUGUCUUGCUAAGUUGCUUAGGACCUCCCUGAGUUUUGACGCUGGCUUUGAACACACGAUCCUCCUGCCUGAGCCUCCAAGCAGCUGAGAUUACAGCUAGGUGUUUAGGCUGCUCCAAUCUCCAGACACUGAGAUGGUGGCCAGUGCAGAACCCAGACACUGAAGACCGGGCCCCGCAAGUCCUGUGAGAUGAGCAUCAGCUCCUGAGUUUAGAUGAGAAAUCAAGAUCUCCAUGACACCCACUCUACCUCAUGUCUAUGGAAGGACCACUGCAACGAUGCUCUUGCAUGUGUACUAUGAACUUAAAAAUCUUUCAAAAUACAAAAGAUUAAGAUAUUAAUCUCCUGAAAGUAGACCUUCACAGUGAAAUAAAAUGAAAUGAAGCUAUCCUACUAGCAACUGGUUUUCUCCAAAGGUCCAGAAAGUUGUAUUCAAAACUAGGUGAUAACUGACCAUCCUCUCUAUGCAUAAGCUGAGCAUCCUAGGACUUCAAACACUAAAACAUGGUUCCUGCUUCCCAAGCAAUCACUAUAAAGUGAGCUAAAAAGACAUACGCACUCACAAUAUUUCACAUCCAACUAUGAUAACCAGCAAAAUUAAUGUAGGUUUAAGAAAGUAUAAUACUGCACAGAGUCCAAUACCUAAUUUUGACUGGAAGAAAAAUAGGCUAAUAUGUUACUUAUGUUUAUAUUUAAAUAACU